rnacentral:rRNA from 1 species
CCCUUAGACGUUCUGGGCCGCACGCGCGCUACACUGACGAAGGCAACGAGCUUUCCUUUACCGAAAGGUACGGGUAAUCUUUUGAAACUUCGUCGUGCUGGGGAUAGAUCCUUGCAAUUAUUGAUCUUAAACGAGGAAUUCCUAGUAAGCGCAAGUCAUCAACUUGCGUUGAUUACGUCCCUGCCCUUUGUACACACCGCCCGUCGCUACUACCGAUUGAAUGGUUUAGUGAGGCCUUCGGAUCCGCGACCCGUUUUGUGGAGAAGUUGGACAAACUCAGUCAUUUAGAGGAAGUAAAAGUCGUAACA